CGAAGAUGAACAAGGAGUAAGGGAAUUUAACGACGUCGUGGGAGCUAUCGGCGUAUUUUCGGUUGAGGUUGCCUUUUUGACCUACUGGGAUCAAGGCUAAAACGGCUGCAAACAGUUGAAGACAGUUUAUAUAUGAGUAAUGAUCAAUAAGAAAAAGAAGUUCAAAAACCUCGACAUACCCGACGCAAAACAUAGGGGGAUGGCGACGCAGCCGAGCGCAAACCUCGUGUUGAGAGUGGAUGACCCGCGUUGCCAUAUCAACAAGACGAAUACCAACACUGCCAGGCCCACCGCGACACUGCUCUCGAUCUGGUUGUCCAGCCAGUUAUCUUUGUCGGCUGUAAUACACAAUAUGGUAACCAAGUGAAUAUUCAUUUUGUAUAUAAUGACGAUGAUAAAGAAGAAAAUGUGA